rnacentral:rRNA from 1 species
GAGUUUGAUCCUGGCUCAGGAUGAACGCUAGCGGCAGGCUUAACACAUGCAAGUCGAGCGCCCCGCAAGGGGAGCGGCAGACGGGAGAGUAACACGUGGGAACAUACCUUUUGGUUCGGAACAACUGAGGGAAACUUCAGCUAAUACCGGAUAAGCCCUUACGGGGAAAGAUUUAUCGCCGAAAGAUUGGCCCGCGUCUGAUUAGCUAGUUGGUGAGGUAACGGCUCACCAAGGCGACGAUCAGUAGCUGGUCUGAGAGGAUGAUCAGCCUCACUGGGACUGAGACACGGCCCAGACUCCUACGGGAGGCAGCAGUGGGGAAUAUUGGACAAUGGGCGCAAGCCUGAUCCAGCCAUGCCGCGUGAGUGAUGAAGGCCUUAGGGUUGUAAAGCUCUUUUAACGGGGAAGAUAAUGACGGUACCCGUAGAAUAAGCCCCGGCUAACUUCGUGCCAGCAGCCGCAGUAAC